UACAGAGGUCUCAAGCGUUGUUCGGAUUCAUUGGGCGUAAAGGGUGCGUAGGUGGCGUCGUAAGUCGGGUGUGAAAUUUCGGAGCUUAACUCCGAAACUGCAUUCGAUACUGCGGUGCUUGAGGACUGGAGAGGAGACUGGAAUUUACGGUGUAGCAGUGAAAUGCGUAGAGAUCAUGAGGAAGACCAGUGGCGAAGGCGGGUCUCUGGACCAUAACUGACGCUGAGAAGCGAAAGCAUGGGGAGCGAACAGG
rnacentral:rRNA from 1 species